AUUGAACGCUGGCGGCAUGCCUAACACAUGCAAGUCGAGCGAGCGACGGACGGGUGAGUACUGUUUGGGUAAUGCCCGUAAACUGCGGAUAACUACUGGAAACGGUUUCUAAUACCGCAUACUAUCGGAUAACCCAUAUGGGAUUAGCUAGUAGGUGAGGUAAUGGCUAACCUGGGCGCCUAUCCCUAGCUGGUCUGAGAGGUUGAUCAGCCACACUGGGACUGAGACACGGCCCAGACUCCUACGGAGGCAGCAGGGGGGAAUAUUGGACAAGGGGCGCAAGCCUGAUGCAGCCAGGCCGCGUGUAUGAAGAAGGCCUUAGGGUGGUAAAGUACUUUCAGUCGGGAGGCGUUACCGACAGAAGAAGCACCGGCUAACUACGUGCCAGCAGCCGCGGUAAUUC
rnacentral:rRNA from 1 species